CUGCUUCAGCAGCAGAUGCAUGAAGACUGGAACCAUAUAGAGAAAAUUUGCACGGCCCCUGCACAAGGAUGACACACAAGGUCAUGAAGCCUUCUGUAUUAAA
ensembl:snRNA U6 U6 spliceosomal RNA